GCCAUGCUCCCACCUUGAUGAUAAUGGACCUCUGAACCUGAUGGAUUGAAGAUGUGAAAAUGAUGAAUUGAGGAAUGUGGCCAUACUUAAGGCUACGGGAAAGCUCCAGGUUCCCCGGUUUGCACCGCCUUUACACGGCAUUCUCCAUCAGCCAAGUUCUUUCCAUUUACAAGAGACCGGAUUUAGGUGGUUACGCGCACGUGAUGGCACCUGAGGAGGCCGGAAGAAGAAUGGGUCCUCUGGAUCUGGAGUCAGAAGUGAAUGUGUGUCAUCCAAUGUGGGUGCUAAAAGCCAAACUGGGUCCUCUGCAAAAAUCAGUGUGUGCUCUCAACUGCAGAGCCAUCUCUCUAGGCCCACAACUAUGCCGUUUAAAACAAGAAUAUAUUAUUUACAGCUGCCGAGAAAAGGGGCCAGGCAGGGCCAUGUCAGGACAUAGGAAGCUUAUGGAAUAGGAGAAGGCAUGAUCCAAAGCCUUAAUUGUAAUUUCCAUGAAUGAAGUAGGGUUCACACGCCUCAGGAUAACUAGUGGGAAUAGUUUUAACAGGCUCUCAACUAGCAGGAUAGCUCCUAGAUGCCCAGUAACUAGGUAUGCUGUAUCUAGGUAGACAGUAUCUAGGUCCAGUACCUUGGUGUAGUUUAGGGCAGGGAGAAUAUUGGCUUAAGGUAUAGAGUUAGGUAAAGGAACUGGCUGAGGAGCUGACCACAGAGCUCAUGCCUGCAUGUGAAAGCAAUGCACAGGCAAGGUUUAGUCUCCCUAGGCCAGCAGUUCUCAACCUGUGGGUUGAUAUAUUUUCACAUCAUUUGUUUACAUUAUAAUUUAUAACCAUGGCAAGGUUACAGCUAUGAAGUAGCAACAAAAAUGAUUUUAUGUUGGUGGGUUGUCAUCACAACACAGGGAAAUGUAUUGAAGGGUCUCAGCAUCAGGAAGGCUGAGAGCCACUACUCUAGGUUCUCAGCUAGCCAUGUGGGAGGUUGUCUCUCCAGGAUCGGGAAGCGCACCAGAUGCCAAAGCACAGUGGACAGACAAAACCAUGUGGUCCUUAUAAAGAUACACGUGCAAGGUCAUUCUUCACAGAAUCUCUAACACCAGAGGCCAGAACCUGUGAUGGUGCCUGCUAUCAACUAGACAAGGUGUAGACUCAGCUGAGGUGGACCUCUGCACACGCCAGUGAGGGAUUUUCUUAAUUGGGUCCACUGAGGUAUAUAGACUCAUCCCAAACGGUAGUACUGUUUCAUGGGUGGGGUCGAGGAAAUGCAAUGGGAGCUAAGCAUCACUAUGGUGUAUCCAUGGCUGUCUGCUCUUCACUGUGGAUAUGGUGUGGCAUGCUGUUCGAGUUCCUACCGCCUUUCUGCACACUGAUUUUCCUUCAGUGAUGGACUGUAACCUGGAACUGUGGGUCAAAUAAACCAUUCCUCUUCCA